rnacentral:rRNA from 1 species
GACAGGGGGGGCAAGCGUUGCUCGGAAUUACUGGGCGUAAAGGGCGCGUAGGCGGGCUGGCAAGUCGGUCGUGAAAUCCCUCGGCUCAACCGAGGAACGUCGAUCGAUACUGCUGUUCUUGAGGAUUGCAGAGGAGACUGGAAUUCCCGGUGUAGCGGUGAAAUGUGUAGAGAUCGGGAGGAACACCGGUGGCGAAGGCGGGUCUCUGGGCAAUUCCUGACGCUGAGACGCGAAAGCGUGGGGAGCAAACAGG